UGGAACUGAGACUUCCAGCUCUCCGGAACGAGCAUUACAUCGGGUUCUGGAAUGUUUUUCGAGACGAAGAUAGCUUUCCCAUCCUGUCGUGUUUUUCGCUCUCCUCUGAUUCCCACCUGCUUGUUGCUGUCUGCUGGUGUCACACCUUCUGCACACUCGGAGCUCGGAGCAGAGCCGGGCUGGGUGAAACCAGGGCUCCAUCUGCCCGCGUGCUUGCUGGGGGACGUCUGAAGGUAACUUUGUGCCGGCACCCUUUGCCAGGAGGCUGAGAAGCCGUCUGCAGUGCCACCCGGCCCCCAGCCACUCUCGGCAGAAUGAGCCGGUACCGAAUCCAGCCCCUGGUGCCACUCAGCCAGAUGGCAGGGGAAGCAAAACAAAAGUGACCUUGUUAGCAGAGUGUGUCUUCCCGGGAGAAGCUAUUUUUGUUGUGGUUGUGAACUGAAGUGUGUCUCGGCUGAAUUUCUCCUUCCCUGCGAGGGCUGUGGAAUGUUAAUUUGUUCCAAAGUUCAGCAUUUUGAUUAGAACCAGGAGUGCCAGAUUUUGUCAGAAACGGUUUGGAAUGGGGUGGCUCGUGCUCGCUCGCUCCCCCUCUCCCGCUCUCCCUCUCUCUUGGCCGCCGUACAAAGUAAAUGUUGUUGCAGCAGCCGCUCCGGGGGAACAGCCCAUCACGGAUCAGAGCCGAGGGGAGAACGGGCUCCUCCCUGGCUGCGGCCAUGACCUCAGUGCCACACAGGCACCCAGGCUGGGGACGGCGGUGGGGACGGAGCAUUAGGGCACACCCUGGGCUCGCGUGGAAAGAGCAAAGAGCCCGACGCCGUGCCUGGGAACAUGCGAGUCCUGCAUGUGGGGAAAAAGGAAUAAGCUCCCCAAAGGCCUGAAACCAGCUGGGUUUCGGCAGCCCAGAGGUCACGUUCAAGGUGGUUCUGGCUUCUGAGGGCCUUCCUUCCGUCUUUAUGUUUGGUUCUCCUCCACGACUCUCUUCACUCCUGUCUCUUUAAUGAGUUAUGAGCCCAAGUGCCGUGGAACUGCAUUCUACGCUACAAAACAAACAUGGACAAGAGGAAAAUGCCCCCAACUUCUGGCUCAAUCCUGGCCCCCCAGUGCUUCCGAGAGGUAUUUAGGUGCAGACUCAUCACGGCUCGACAGAAUCAAACCCACUGUUUGUCAGUCCGGUGGAUAAAAAAUAGGUUUGUUUUCCUGUUUGUCUUGUAGCAAGACACAGUGGUUAAAGGGACGGACUUCGAACCCAGGAUGCCGGGGAUCUGAUCGCCAAUCCUGCAGCAGUAGCCGCAGCACCAGUACAGUAGUAGUAGUAGUGGAAGCUGUGUGGACGAGUUACUCAGCCUAGCUGAGUCUGCUUCAUUGUGUGUCCAAGAGGAAGGAUUCCAGUGGUUACAUCAUAGGGUGGUGGGGAGGGCUGAAGCACUUACGCUAUAGAGUGCUCAGAUCAGGGGUUGGCUUUUAUUGUCACUCCUGUGAUUUCCUGGUCACCCAUGCCAUUGGGCACAUGCCCACCCACCCACCCUGCACCUUCCCUCUCAGUGUAGUGUAGACGACUCCCCACAUUUCCCAGGCUCCACACAAAGGCUCGAAAAGAACUCGGGAGCAGUGAACAUUAGACUUCGGCUCCAGCCCCUGGGUUCCCCCUGUGGCUUCUCAACCCAUCUCUUUAAGGUUCAGCCCGGUGUGGAGUGGCUUUUCUGUUUUUCCAGCUGUGACAACUAAGAUCCCAAGGGCGAUGGGACUCCUCCAGAGACACAGAGACCACUGAGGCAGCACCAGGACUGCUACUCUACAAGGUAGCUCUCCCUGUCCCUCUCCACGGUCCACCCCAACGAGCUGGUGGUCGCCUCCCAGAGAGCCGGGUUGAGAAUGAUUCUGGAGUACAGCAGAGCUCAUGCGGAAAGGGGUGCUCAGCCGUGAGCACACGAGGGUGGUGGUGGUAUCUGCCAUCCCCGGGCUCUCCCCGACCCCACUCGCCUCACACCCCUCCAGCCCUCACUCGAGUCACCACUGUUCUGCCUGCCAGGGAGUAAUGCCUGUUGCACCCAGCCUGCUCUGGCCCUCUCUCUCCGUCCACCUGAUCUGAAGGAGCCUUUGUUGGCGGUUCUGAAGGGCUAAGCGGCCUGCGGAGCAGUCUUUUCCAAGAGGAAAUGCGGGAUGCCCUGGGCUGCUUCCUUCUCCACUUAGUGGCCAAUGUGAAAGCUUGGCAGGCACGGGCUGAGUGGGUAUUGAGAAACACGGCAGCAUAACCCCGAGGCAAGAACUGUUGAAGAGCUCUCGUAAGCCUGCAGCUAGACCUGGCUCUCCAAGAGGCCUAUAUACUCUUGCUGUUGGAUCAAUACUUGGGAGAGGAGGAGCAGAGGUACACACCGCGUACACAGAGCCAGCCGCUGCUGUUCAAGACCGCGGCUCCAGAAGACCCUGUCCAGCCUCCCUCUCCUUUCCCCCUGCUGGCCAGGGGUGCUGUGGACGGCUCUGCUGCAGUCUGCCGUCUGCUGCUGCAAACAUCUGUGCUUGCGGUCUUCCACGCAGAGGAGCCGUCUGUCCUUCCUUCCCCACCUCCCUCCAGCUGCGCCUCCUCCCUCUCUCCUGAGAUGGCCAUUCAGAUGGGUGUGCAGACUGCAGACAGAUGUUCGGGAUGCUUCCCCACCUGCCCAGAUAUGGGGCUGCCGAGCCCUCCUCAUCAGGAUCUGGGAAGCCUGAUCUGCAAGCCUCCCAUGGCUCGCCGGUGUGCCCUGCUUUGAGGAAGCCCAGCAAGAACAGAGUCCGAUAUUUGCAAAGAGGACACCCGCGGGCAAGGUGUCUCUAUGUUGCAGAGUGACCAUUCUAACCAAUUUGAUGAUUUCUUUUCUCCAUUGGUUCUAGUUUUUUAACCAGAAUACGAGGAGCACGUAUUGGAUCAACUAGGAGCUUUUCCAACAUUCACCUGGCCAGUCCCCAGGUUUUCUAUUCCUAGACAAACCAGAUCUGAGGAGGAGAGUUAAUUGAAAGACAUCGCUAAGGCCCAGAUAAUACUGAUAAAUUCCCUCUUUCACUACUACCACUGCUAUCCUUGUGCAUUUCAGCUUUGGUAUAAAAAAUCAGGAAUUACCUAUAGACUAGGGUAAGGACAGUCUCUUCAACAAGUGGUGCUGGGAAAACUGGACAGCUACAUGCAAAAGAAUGAAGCUGAACCUUACCUCACACCAUAUACAAAAAUUAACCUAACAUGGAUUAAAGACCUAAAUGUAAGCCCAAAUUCUCUAAAACUUCUAGAAGAAAACACAGGGAAGAUCUUCCAGACGUUGGAUUUGGCAGUGAAUUCAUGGAUACAACACCAAAAGCACAAGAAACAAAAGCAAAAAUAGGCAAAUGGGACUACAUCAAACUUAAAAACUUCCGCGAAUCAAGGGAAACAAUUGAGAAAGAGAAAAGCCAACCUACAGAACAAAAGAAAAUAUUUGCAAAUCAUGUAUCUGAUAAGGGGUUAAUAUUCCGAAUAUACAAGGAACUCCUACAACUCAACAACAACAUAACCCAAAUAACCAGAUUUCAAAAAGGGCAAAAGACUUGAACAGACAAUUCUCCAAAGAAGACACACAGAUGAACAAGCAUAUCAAAAGAUGCCCAACAUCACUAAUCAUAAGAGAAACACAAAUCAAAACUACAACGAGGUGUCAUCUCACACCCGUUACGAUGGCCAUGAUCAGAAGAACAGAAAAGAACAGGUGUUGACAAGAACACAGAGAAGGCAGAACCCUCACACACUGUUGGUGGAAACAUAAAAUGGUGCAGCCAUUAUGAAAAUGAAAAGCCAGUGUGGGGAUUCCUCACCAAAUUAAAAAUAGAACUAUCAAACAAUCCAGCAAUCCUACUUCUGGGUAUAUAUCCAAAGAAACUGAAGUUAGGACUUCAAAGAGAUAUCCUCUUCUGUGUGUGUCUGUACUACUGAUGUGUGUUUUUGUGGACUGAUCAUUUGUUCUUAGAGAUGAUCUAAACAGACUGUCAGGGGCCAGGAGAAUUCUACUGAGGCACCAGGCACUGAGUUAUUAUAUUUUAUAAAUAAGGAUACAAGGCAUACAUAUUAAGCCUACAAGGCCUGGAAGACUAGCUCUGGAAGAUCCCCUGAGAAACAAGGGUUCCAUGGCCAAAUAAAUGACUUUGGGAAAUUCCAUAUUAAAGAGAACUAAAGAGGUUUCUAAACACGGGAUGUCUUUUAAAUGCCAAAGUACAUGGUCACUCUCAAAACAUGGAAAGAGUAUGCUGCAUUCCUCAGACUCAUUUAAUGUUACAACCCUUCUGGAUCCCUCCUUUGAGGAAGAUUGUGCAGUAACUGCUGGUAAAUGACAAGCUAGAAAAAUUCUGAAUUCAGAAUUCAUCCUGGCGGGGAUUAGGGAGAGGUGGAGACUGGCAGAGUUAGGGAGGUUCUCCCUUUUUAAUUCAUUUACUCAUUCAUUCAUUCAACACACACACUGUUAAAUAUAUAGGAAGAGCCAGGCCUUAUUAAAGACACUGAUGAUAUGAAGAUGAGUGAGAAUGGACUGCACCUUCAACCUCACGUAGGCCAGGAAAAUCUGAAUGGUAGAAGCCCCACCAAACUGACUUGAGUCAAAAAAGUGAAAGCUAUGGGCUCAAAUGUUUGCAAAGUCUAGGACAUGGGUGGGAAGGUGAGAUGAGAAAUUACUACAAAGGCCCAAGAACUAGAGGAGGAGGACCUGGGGCAGGAGAGGGAGGGUGGGAUCCAAGAUAUAUUUCACCUAUGAAAUACUGGAUUUGUCCAAUCAACCAAUACAUGACCCUACAAUGCUGUUUUAUUCCGGGUGUUGUGGGGAUACAGAGCAAAUGAACACGAGACAUGAUCCAGAGCCUGCAGGAGUCUGUACCUAGUUGACCCAUUAAUUAUCAACUGUCUCCCAACGAGGCUAAUGGAUUUUGUCAGAAAAUGAAAAUGGCACCAGACCCAAGUGUAUGGAGUGCAGGAAGGGGACAGCUAAGACCAGCCAUCUCCUCCUAUGCCCAUUGUCACAAUAUGCGCUACCUUGGGGACCUAACCGCUGGGUGACGGAUUGAAACACUGCACCUUUUUUUCCCACAAUAAGCGGAAUAAUCCCGGCAUAAGAGAGGAAGGAAAUCGAACAAAACAGGAAGUAGGGUGGGGUUGGGUUAAACAAGCCACACGGGACAACAAAUUAGAAGAUGCUGUGGCCACUGCCAAGUUCCGCUGUGCCAAAAGAAAGAAUCUGCCCCAGGAGUCAGGUGUGACUGCAGGCAUUCGGAAGGAUGAAUGAAUUCCUCAGCAUGCUUUAGGAACUGAGGCUCCCUAAAAUAGUCUUCUGCCCCUCCUCCAUCACUUCCUCACCCCUCAAAUUAAACAGCAGCCAACAAUGAUGUGAACCAUGAACGUAGCUCGGGGGUACGUACACUUGUAGAGGAAAGAGGGUGGAGUCAGGGGUGAAAUUCAAGGCCGAUGUUUUAUUAGCUUCUUCCCAGAAUCUGUGGGUCUUGGGAUUGCAGACGGAGGCCAAAUGUUCCCUUUGAGCAUUCUGGGCUGUGUGACUAUUAUUUGCAUUUGUGUGGGGGAUGGGAACAGCAGACUGGCUGGAGAGUGUGUCCUUUGACUUGCAAGCAUUGGGAGGCUUCUUCCAGGCAGCUCUGAAACCCAGUCCUAUAGAACGCAACUCUGUUCCUACUGAUAUCCUCAGGAGUCAUUCAACACCCCUAUUUGAAACUUACCAAUGAUUUCUCACUGCUCUGGGGUAAACAUUAUGAUGCUUUGUGGCCCAUAUGGUGCUGCUUUCUCUCUAGCUUCACUUUAUCCAUGCUUGUCCCUGUUCUCUGAACUAUAUCUCACUGAUGCUCUUUAAGUAUUUCUUCCUUCUACCACAGGGCCUUUGCAUAUGCUAUGUUUACUGUCUAAACUUCAUUUCACACCUAGUUCACUGAACUAACUCCUGUUUAUUUUUCAGAUCCCAACUCAGUUGUCUCCUCCUCAGGGAUGCCUUUUCCAAGGCCAGUGUCUCCAUGAUAUGCAGAUGCUGUGUAUUGGGGUCCACGACACCCUUAGGAGCCAUGAGAAAAAAAAAAGUGUUCAAUUUCUUUAAAAAUCAGAAGAACAGGGGCGCCUGGGUGGCUCAGUGGGUUAAAGUCUCUGCCUUCAGCUUGGGUCAUGAUCUCAGGGUCCUGGGAUCGAGCCCCGCAUCAAGCUCUCUGCUCAGCGGGGAACCUGUUCCUCCCUCUCUCUCUGCCUGCUGCUCUGUCUACUUGUGAUCUCUAUCAAGUAAAUAAAUAGAAAAUCUUUAAAAAAAAAAAAAAAAAAAACAGAAGCACAAAGGGACUAUAAUAAUGACCAUAUAAUGAUGAUUCUAACCUGGAUUUCCUCUAAUGCAGUUGUAUAAGAUAAUUUUUGGAAUGAGAAAAGGGUCCACCAAGGCAUGAAUAAUUGGCCCCCAGCCCUUUCAACCUCCCAGCAGCACUGGCCAGGUCUCCGCAUCAAAUGCUUUCCUCGUGCCCUGAACUCUUCCAUCAAAGCACUUGUCACAGCUGCCACUGAGUACAUGUCCUCUAAAAUACAAGCUCCAUGAUACAAGGACCACAUCUGACAGGUCUCUAGCCGGCAUCGUCGUAUAGCACCUGGCUUGUCACGCAUGCUCAGUUGCUGCAGGGAGGGCUGGGCGGAGGCAGUCUACCUGCAUGGCUCAGCCACGUUCUAAGCAGGAACAUCAACUCGAUCUGCUGCUUUUAACCACCCAGCUGGCUUGCAGGUCUGAGGGGAGGGGACAGGAUGGGAAGCAAGAAGAAAGACUCACAGUGGACAUGGGGGAAGCGACAGUGCCAAACUUCUCCCCUUGGGGAGCAGCGUGGGAGGGGCGGCAGAGACGGAGCGUAAACAAACAUUUCCUUGUCUGGUCCAUCCAUGUCGCAGCACCGCUCAGAGCCACAUCACUCACGUUGCUGGAUAUGCUGUUGUAGGGACAUGCCAUGUUCUGCUGAUCCAUUCAUCACGCGCGGACAUUUGUUUGGGCUUCUGUGAAAAGUGUUGGUGGGAACAUGAGUGUGCGCAACCAGAUGUUGGUGUUUGCAGCCCUCGUCUUACACGUGUGUUUGUGGCCUCUCUCCUCUCAGAGUGGCUCUCCGUGUUCUUUGAGGACCAUCCCCAUAAUGUCUUUAACAGCCACCGCCUCCUGAUCCCCUUCAGCACCUACUGUGGGACCACUGACCAAAGACACCUUGGUAUGUGACAGGCUGUCAAUUCCAAUGAAAUCUUUGAAGAUGGUAACAGGUACUUUAUUAAGCA